rnacentral:rRNA from 1 species
AGAGUUUGAGUCUGGCUCAGGACAACGCUGGCGGCGUGCCUAACACAUGCAAAGUCGAACGAAGCUUGCGAAUGAUUUCUUCGGAAUGAAAUCUGAUAUGACUGAGUGGCGACGGGUGAGUAACGCGUGAGCAACCUGCCCUUCGAGGGGGAUAGUGUCUGGAAACGGACAGUAAUACCGCAUAACGAUUUUUACCGCAUGAUAGAAAUACCAAAACUGAGGUGCCGAAGGAUGGGCUCGCGUUGGAUUAGAUAGUUGGUGGGGUAACGGCCUACCAAGUCGACGAUCCAUAGCCGGACUGAGAGGUUGAACGGCCACAUUGGGACUGAGACACGGCCCAGACUCCUACGGGAGGCAGCAGUGGGGAAUAUUGCACAAUGGGGGAAACCCUGAUGCAGCAACGCCGCGUGAAGGAAGACGGUUUUCGGAUUGUAAACUUCUGUUCUUAGUGAAGAAUAAUGACGGUAGCUAAGGAGCAAGCCACGGCUAACUACGUG